rnacentral:rRNA from 1 species
GGACAGUGCGGCAUGCUUAACAUGCAGUCGAACGGCAGCACGGGUGCUUGCACCUGGUGGCGAGUGGCGAACGGGUGAGUAAUACAUCGGAACAUGUCCUGUAGUGGGGGAUAGCCCGGCGAAAGCCGGAUUAAUACCGCAUACGAUCUACGGAUGAAAGCGGGGGACCUUCGGGCCUCGCGCUAUAGGGUUGGCCGAUGGCUGAUUAGCUAGUUGGUGGGGUAAAGGCCUACCAAGGCGACGAUCAGUAGCUGGUCUGAGAGGACGACCAGCCACACUGGGACUGAGACACGGCCCAGACUCCUACGGGAGGCAGCAGUGGGGAAUUUUGGACAAUGGGCGAAAGCCUGAUCCAGCAAUGCCGCGUGUGUGAAGAAGGCCUUCGGGUUGUAAAGCACUUUUGUCCGGAAAGAAAUCCUUGGCUCUAAUACAGUCGGGGGAUGACGGUACCGGAAGAAUAAGCACCGGCUAACUACGUGCCAGCAGCCGCGGUAAUACGUAGGGUGCGAGCGUUAAUCGGAAUUACUGGGCGUAAAGCGUGCGCAGGCGGUUUGCUAAGACCGAUGUGAAAUCCCCGGGCUCAACCUGGGAACUGCAUUGGUGACUGGCAGGCUAGA